GAAAGCGUAGCUCAGAUAAUAGAGCGCUCGCUUAUCAUGCGACAGGUUCAGGGAUCGAUACCCCGCGCCUCCA